rnacentral:rRNA from 1 species
AUUGAGCGCUGGCGGAAUGCUUUUCACAUGCAAGUCGAACGGUAGAGGGGGCAACCCCUCGAGAGUGGCGAACGGGUGAGUAAUAUAUCGGAACGUGCCCAGUCGUGGGGGAUAACGUAGCGAAAGUUACGCUAAUACCGCAUACGAUCUAAGGAUGAAAGCGGGGGAUCGCAAGACCUCGCGCGAUUGGAGCGGCCGAUAUCAGAUUAGGUAGUUGGUGGGGUAAAGGCUCACCAAGCCAACGAUCUGUAGCUGGUCUGAGAGGACGACCAGCCACACUGGAACUGAGACACGGUCCAGACUCCUACGGGAGGCAGCAGUGGGGAAUUUUGGACAAUGGACGCAAGUCUGAUCCAGCCAUUCCGCGUGCAGGAUGAAGGCCCUCGGGUUGUAAACUGCUUUUGUACGGAACGAAAAGGUCUCUCUUAAUACGGGGGGCUCAUGACGGUACCGUAAGAAUAAGCACCGGCUAACUACGUGCCAGCAGCCGCAGUAA